CCUACGGGAGGCAGCAGUGAGGAAUAUUGGUCAAUGGCCGAGAGGCUGAACCAGCCACGUCGCGUGAGGGAAGACGGCCCUACGGGUUGUAAACCUCUUUUGUCGGGGAGCAAAGCGAACCACGUGUGGUUCAUUGAGAGUACCCGAAGAAAAAGCAUCGGCUAACUCCGUGCCAGCAGCCGCGGUCAUACGGAGGAUGCGGGCGUUAUCCGGAUUUAUUGGGUUUAUAGUGUGCGCAGGCGGGGGUGCAAGUCAGCGGUCAAAUUGCGGGGCUCAACCCCGUACUGCCGUUGAAACUGCAUCCCUUGAGGGCGCGAGAAGUAUGCGGAAUGCGUGGUGUAGCGGUGAAAUGCAUAGAUAUCACGCAGAACUCCGAUUGCGAAGGCAGCAUACCGGCGCGCAACUGACGCUCAUGCACGAAAGCGUGGGUAUCGAACAGGAUUAGAUACCCUGGUAGUC
rnacentral:rRNA from 1 species